CGGGUGGUAAUGCCGGAUGUUCCACAUGAUCGCAUGUGAUUGUGGGAAAGAUUUCAUCGGCGUGGGAUGGGGUCGCGUCCUAUCAGCUUGUUGGUGAGGUAACGGCUCACCAAGGCUUCGACGGGUAGCCGGCCUGAGAGGGCGACCGGCCACAUUGGGACUGAGAUACGGCCCAGACUCCUACGGGAGGCAGCAGUGGGGAAUAUUGCACAAUGGGCGCAAGCCUGAUGCAGCGACGCCGCGUGAGGGAUGGAGGCCUUCGGGUUGUAAACCUCUUUUGUUUGGGAGCAAGCCUUCGGGUGAGUGUACCUUUCGAAUAAGCGCCGGCUAACUACGUGCCAGCAGCCGCGGUAAUACGUAGGGCGCAAGCGUUAUCCGGAUUUAUUGGGCGUAAAGGGCUCGUAGGCGGCUCGUCGCGUCCGGUGUGAAAGUCCAUCGCUUAACGGUGGAUCUGCGCCGGGUACGGGCGGGCUGGAGUGCGGUAGGGGAGACUGGAAUUCCCGGUGUAACGGUGGAAUGUGUAGAUAUCGGA
rnacentral:rRNA from 1 species